UACGGAGGGUGCAAGCGUUGUCCGGAAUCACUGGGCGUAAAGGGCGCGUAGGCGGCUCAUGAAGGCUGUGGUGAAAGUCCGGGGCUCAACCUCGGAUCGGCCGUGGCGACUCGUGGGCUGGAGCACUGUAGAGGCGGGUGGAAUUCCGGGUGUAGCGGUGGAAUGCGUAGAGAUCCGGAAGAACACCAGUGGCGAAGGCGGCCCGCUGGGCAGUGGCUGACGCUGAGGCGCGACAGCGUGGGGAGCAAGCAGG
rnacentral:rRNA from 1 species